rnacentral:lncRNA from 1 species
UAUGAAUGUAUAUAUUUACAUAUAUAUUUAAUCAUAUAUAUGAUACAUUUGUUUAAUAUAUAUGAUAGCUCACGUGUUUAUGGGAGCUGAGAUGUCCCACAAUUUCCAUCUGAAAGCUGGAGUUCCCGGAAGGUUGAUGAUGUAGCUCUGGUGCCAGUCUGAAAGCCUGAGAAUGCAGACCAUGUAUGCUCCAGUCUGAGGACAGAGAAGGCUGAGGGCCUUGAUCAUGAAGCCAUGCAAAGAGGAAGAUUUCUCUUGCUUUUCUGUUUUACCCAGGCCCUCAACAGAUUGGAUAAUGCACACUCACACUGCCGAGGUGGAAUCUGCUUUACUCAACCUAUUGAUUCAAAUGUUAAUUUUUUUCUGUUAAUAUCCUCAUAGACCCAGAAAUAAUCUUCAGCUUAAUACCUGGGUACCUUUUAACUCAGUCAUGUUGACACAUAAAAUUAACAGUAGCAUAUAACCAUUCUCUUUUUCUUUCCUUUACUUAUACUGAGAGCUUUCCCUUCUCCCAUCUCCUAUAUAAUGUUUCUCCUUUAAUUGUUAUUUGGUUCUCCUCUGUCUUCCAAAUAAAUGUACCCUGUUGGUAAUAUGCCUUUUUCUUGAGUAAAACAAUUUAUCAGUUUUACUGGCAGCAAUUAAAUAUUCUCAGCUCUAAGUUUACCUCUUUUAAGUUUACCUCUUAAAAGUUUUUCCUCCCAUAUCUUCUCCUAAUUAUCACCUCAGUACUUCUUCAUUUCCUUGCCUUUCUUGAAAAAAAAAACCCUUAUAGCUAUUUCCAAUUUUUAUUUGCUCAAAUCUCAACUCAUUCUUUUCUUCCUUAUCCCAACAUGACUCUUACUAAGGUCACCAGUUACAUGGAAGAUCCCACCCCUUCCAUGUAAAUGCAAUGAACAUUUUCAGUGUCUC